rnacentral:lncRNA from 1 species
AUUACAUAUGAAAAUGCGCAUGCGCAAUACACGUACCUUCGUUUCUUGGCAUCAGAUUAGAAAUGUUCGUCGCAUGAAUUUCUCUUCAUCUCCUUUUAAUUCAUAUCUCAACCAACACACACACAGUUUAUAGUAACGCUGUCCGUAUCAAUAAUUCACAUGGCAUUGGUAUAACAGAAGAUAUAUUCUCAAUAUUUAUCAUCUUUUAAAACUGAAAGAAAAUUAUGUACAAAGUAGAUAUAUAACAGUAUUUCAAUAAAUCUGUUGUCGAUUUC